UUUAUUUAUUCAUGAGAGACACACAGAGAGAGGCAGAGACAUAGGCAGAGAAAGAAGCAGACUCCCUGGAGGACCCCGAUGUGGGACUUGAUCCUUUGACUCCAGGGUUAUGAACUGAGCCAAAGGCAGAUGCUCAAGCACUGAGCCAGCCAGGUGUCCCUCCCUUUUCCACCUUCUAACUUUCUGAAAGCAACAUGCUCCUUUUAUACUGCCAUAUGCUAUUCUGUAGCUAUAGUUCAGUCUUCUGUGCUUUAGCUAUGGAUUUAUUUAUUUUUUUAAAUUUUUAUUUAUUUAUGAUAGUCACAGAGAGAGAGAGAGAGAGAGGGAGAGAGAGAGAGAGAGGCAGAGACAUAGGCAGAGGGAGAAGCAGGCUCCAUGCACCGGGAACCCGACGUGGGAUUCGAUCCCGGGUUUCCAGGAUCGCGCCCUGGGCCAAAGGCAGGCACCAAACCGCUGCGCCACCCAGGGAUCCCUGAAUUUAUUUUAAAUGUAGAAAAUCAAUAAAUAGCAUUUCUCAUGUUAUUAAAAUUAUUAUUGGAUUCAGGACCAAAAAGUGCUUUCCAUUAAGUCCAAUGACACCGUCCAUAGACUCAGGUAAAAGGAGACUGUUUCCAGUAUAAAACUCAAAAGCAGGGCAGCCCCGGUGGUGCAGUGGUUUAGUGCCGCCUGCAGCCGGGGGUGUGAUCCUGGAGACCCCGGAUUGAGUCCCACGUUGGGCUCCCUGCUUGGAGCCUGUUUCUCCAUCUGCCUGUGUCUCUGCCGCUCUCUCAAUCUGUGUCUCUAUGAAUAAAUAAAAUCUUAAAAAAAAACUCAAAAGCAUUUUAUUUUCUUACACUCCAUCAUUUACUCAACAACAUGUAAGAGUUUAGUUUGGAUUUAUGAUAAUCCUGCUCAGUUGUGUUCCUUUAUGUUGUUUUGACCUUCCACACCUCCCAGAGAAAUAAGUAUAUUCCUUACCACCUACUCAAAGAAUUCGGUAUCUUAAUCAUGGUACUCUCAGUUAGAUGUAAUCCACUUUUUUUUCAGCAACUUUCGCAACGCCCUUCAUCUCCUUGUUCCUUUCUUAACCAAUGGCUCCUAACCCUAACUCAUAUUUGUCAUCCACUGGAAUGUCUGGGUUAAAUCUAUCAACCAUUUCCUAGAUCACACAUCUUAUUCUUCCUUUUAUUAUUUCCCCCAUUACUUACUGGAACACAUCCUUAAGUAAAUUCCUCAACGAGGUCCUUUGGAAAUGGAAAAUGUUUUUAUUUUGCCCUAACUCUUAAUUGGUAGUUGAUUGAAUAUAUAAUUCUAGGUCUAAAAUAAUUCACCUUAAGUAAUUAGAAGAAACUUCAUUAUCUUUUCACAUUUGUUAUUGCCAAUUGGAAGUGUGAAAGCAACCUGUGCCUUUUUCCUUUGCAGGUUUUUUUUUGUUUUCUUUCUUCAGACAUUUUUAAAAUCUUCUUUUCAUCCUUAGUGAUUCACCAGGAAUGCACUAAAACUGCAUAUAACAGAAACCUGACUAAAGUGACCAUAUAAUGCUAUUUUUUAAUGUAACAUGAAUUCUAGAGGCUAAAAAGAAAUGGUCCUUCUAGCUUCCUGUCCGGCCACGUCUUGUUGCUGAGGUUCUUGUUCAUUGUCAUAGGAUGGCUGCUACACACUGAGGCAUCAUCUCUACAUUCUAGGCAGAACUGGGUCAUAUGAACACCCCCAUCAGGAAAUUUGUAAAAAGAAUUUUUUUAAUUUUUAAUUAUGCUCACUUCCUUCUUCCUGAGGAACAGGGAAAAAUUAUCAUGGCUUAGGCAACUAGUAUCAAAAGCUCCAUUUGGUGAAA
rnacentral:lncRNA from 1 species